rnacentral:lncRNA from 1 species
CUUUGGACUUUCAGGUUAACGGGACUAAAUGUCUUUCUUUUAGAUAAGCCAAAAAAUAUUAUGGUCUCAGCUAGACCUAAAUGACAAAAUUGAAAAGGGUAGGAGAAUAAAUCUACAAUGGAAGGAGUUAAGGAAACUCACAUCUUUAAACCUGCACAGUAAACAAAGGGGCUCCAGCAGCAGAAUGGAAAGAAGCAUCUGUAGUGUGGUGGAAAGCACCGGAGACUCAGGCUGCUCAGCCUCUGGCCCACUCCUCCUGAGUCCUGGCAGGGAGCCCAGCCUCCAGGGGCCCUUGGUUUCAUGGUCGCUGUCCUGCUGCUACCUGACCGUGCUGGAAACCAAGGUAGGUCAAGCCUUGAGGUGGAAACCAGGCAACAGUUUCUGCCCUUGUUUUCCAGGACUAGGUAAGAACUUACUCUUCCUAGUUAUGGGUUAAAAGCAAGAACUCUAAAAACUUAUCUCCCUGCAAUCUCUCAGGAAAUAAAUAUGUCACCAUCCACAUCAUCUCAUGUUCAUGGCAGCCCUCUGUUUGACUUUACACAAAGCACUCCCAAGACUGAGCUGGUGGGAGAAAAAAAAAAAAAAAACACAUCAAAACAAAGCAGAAAGCCCCUGACAUCUAGGUCCUUGUACUUUGAUAUUAACCAUCAUUUAAAGAGUACUUAGUAACUGCCAUGCACUGUGCUAAGCAUGUUACUAACAUCUGAUUUUUUCUUCACUCCUGUAAAUGGACAGAGUUCAGAGAGGUGACAUAGCUCGCCCUGGGUCACACAGCUAGCAAGUGAUGGAGCUGAAAUUGGAAUCCAGGUUUGACUGACUCCAAAUUCCAGGCACACUCUUUACCAUUACAGCAAGCUGUCCCCUCCAGCCUAAGGCAAGAGACAGCACAAGCGCUACAUAAAUGAUAAAGGAGCCUACAGUGUUUCAUCCACCACUUCCCAGACAGGCAAGAGGGAAACGCAUUUGAAAGGUUCAGAAUUUUUUAAAAAUUUUUUGAAUAGGUAAAACAUUUACAGGUUUCAAAAAAAUCAAACAGUCUGCAGAGGUUCAGAGUGAAACAUCUUAUUCCCAUCCUGUCCUCCACCAGCUCUCUAUACUCUUUAUUGGAUUUGUAAGGUAUCCUUCAGAGUUCCUUUAUGCAAAUACACGCACAUGUGAACAUACAUAUUUUUCCUUCUUGUUUUUCACAAAAGGUAAUGCACUCUACAUACUGUUCGGCACCUUGGGCUUUUCUUUUUCCAUUUGCCAUUUAACCAAAGACUUGUCAGUCUUUCCAUACCAAUGCAUAGAGACCUUCC